rnacentral:rRNA from 1 species
UAGGGAGCGAGCGUUGUCCGGAAUUACUGGGUGUAAAGGGCGCGUAGACGGUUAUGUAAGUCUGGAGUGAAAGCCCGGGGCCCAAACCCGGGAAUGCUUUGGAAACUGUGUAACUAGAGUACAGGAGGGGCAGGCGGAAUUCCUGGUGUAGCGGUGAAAUGCGUAGAUAUCAGGAGGAACACCGGCGGCGAAGGCGGCCUGCUGGACUGAAACUGACGUUGAGGCUCGAAAGCGUGGGGAGCAAA